rnacentral:rRNA from 1 species
GUGUAUGGUCAUACCAUGCUGAUCGUGUCUGAUCUCAGAAGCGAAGCAGUGUUGGGCCCGGGUGAGUUCUUGGAUGGGAGGAUAAUAAAAUUUUGGCAGAAGACACC